GAUGAACGCUGGCGGCGUGCCUAAUACAUGCAAGUAGAACGCUGAAGCUUGGUGCUUGCACCGAGCGGAUGAGUUGCGAACGGGUGAGUAACGCGUAGGUAACCUGCCUCUUAGCGGGGGAUAACUAUUGGAAACGAUAGCUAAUACCGCAUAAAAGUCGAUAUCGCAUGAUAUUGAUUUGAAAGGUGCAAAUGCAUCACUAAGAGAUGGACCUGCGUUGUAUUAGCUAGUUGGUGAGGUAACGGCUCACCAAGGCGACGAUACAUAGCCGACCUGAGAGGGUGAGCGGCCACACUGGGACUGAGACACGGCCCAGACUCCUACGGGAGGCAGCAGGAGGGAAUCUUCGGCAAUGGGGGCAACCCUGACCGAGCAACGCCGCGUGAGUGAAGAAGGUUUUCGGAUCGUAAAGCUCUGUUGUAAGAGAAGAACGAGGGUGAGAGUGGAAAGUUCACACUGUGACGGUAACUUACCAGAAAGGGACGGCUAACUACGUG
rnacentral:rRNA from 1 species